rnacentral:rRNA from 1 species
CCUACGGGGGGCAGCAGUGAGGAAUAUUGGUCAAUGGGCGCGAGCCUGAACCAGCCAAGUCGCGUGAGGGAAGACGGUCCUAUGGAUUGUAAACCUCUUUUGUCGGGGAGCAAAAGACGCCACGCGUGGCGUUCCGAGAGUACCCGACGAACAAGCAUCGGCUAACUCCGUGCCAGCAGCCGCGGUAAUACGGAGGAUGCGAGCGUUAUCCGGAUUUAUUGGGUUUAAAGGGUGCGCAGGCGGAAGAUCAAGUCAGCGGUAAAAUUGAGAGGCUCAACCUCUUCGAGCCGUUGAAACUGGUGUUCUUGAGUGAGUGAGAAGUAUGCGGAAUGCGUGGUGUAGCGGUGAAAUGCAUAGAUAUCACGCAGAACUCCGAUUGCGAAGGCAGCAUACCGGCGCUCAACUGACGCUCAUGCACGAAAGUGUGGGUAUCGAACAGGAUUAGAUACCCUUGUAGUC